CAAAAUGUAGCUAAAUCAGCAAAGCACCUCCCUUACACUGAGGGAAUACCCGUGCAACUCGGGUCAUUUUGA
rnacentral:tRNA from 1 species